GACGAACGCUGGCGGCGUGCCUAAUACAUGCAAGUAGAACAGUUGCGAACGGGUGAGUAACGCGUAGGUAACUGCCUCAUAGCGGGGGAUAACUAUCGGAAACGAUAGCUAAUACCGCAUACUGUGAGAUGGACGUGCGUUGUAUUAGCUCGUUGGUGAGGUAAAUGCCCACCAAGGCGGCGAUACCUAGCCGACCUGAGAGGGUGAGCGGCCAAACUUGGACGGAGACAAGGCUCAGGAUCCUACGGGAGGCAGCAGUAGGGAAUUGUUGGAAAUGGAUGGAAGUCUGAACGAGCAACGCCGCGUGAGUGAAGAAGGUUUUCGGAUCGUAAAGCUCUUUUGUUAGAGAAGCGUUACCUAACCAGAAAGUGACGGCUAACUACGUGCCAGCAGCCGCGGUAAUAC
rnacentral:rRNA from 1 species